AGUAAGUCAGGUAAAGAGCGGUGUUGUAUUUUGAGACAAGCUUGAAUAAGCUAAGUAGCCAAUAGGCAGAGGGUAGCAUAAUUUGACUGAUUCUCUCUAAUAAAUGUUCGGGAAUAAAAAUGCAUUUUAUUCUGUAAAGUGGUUUCUUGCAUCAAACAAUACAUUUUCAGUCACCUCCAUGUCUGAAGGACAAGUGGAUAAACAGGUUAAAGGUCAAGCCCUGCAUGUUGUUUUCUUCAAUAGUCUGGUGGAAUGUAGAUCUGCAUUGAACACCACACAUUGGCUGCUCCUGUAGGCUGAAUGAAAGAACAGCUCAUUUCCAUGUUAAAAUAUUAUGGGAUGCAUUUUCUCCAUUGUUUUUGAUGUUAGGCCUCUCUGGUAGGCCUACAUUAUGAUCAAAUAGCCACAGUAGCCUACUUGGCCACUGUUAAAACUGUAACUUAAAGUGGGUACAGCCUCAGUGUUCACAGUAAAACUGUAACUUAAAGUGGGUACAGCCUCAGUGUUCACAGUAAAACUGUAACUUAAAGUGGGUACAGCCUCAGUGUUCACAGUAAAACUGUAACUUAAAGUGGGUACAGCCUCAGUGUUCACAGUAAAACUGUAACUUAAAGUGGGUACAGCCUCAGUGUUCACAGUAAAACUGUAACUUAAAGCAGGUACAGCCUCAGUGUUCACAGUAAAACUGUAACUUAAAGCAGGUACAGCCUCAGUGUUCACAGUAAAUCUGUAACUUAAAGCAGGUACAGCCUCAGUGUUCACAGUAAAACUGUAACUUAAAGCAGGUACAGCCUCAGUGUUCACAGUAAAACUGUAACUUAAAGUGGGUACAGCCUCAGUGUUCACAGUAAAACUGUAACUUAAAGUGGGUACAGCCUCAGUGUUCACAGUAAAACUGUAACUUAAAGCAGGUACAGCCUCAGUGUUCACAGUAAAACUGUAACUUAAAGCAGGUACAGCCUCAGUGUUCACAGUAAAACUGUAACUUAGUGGGUACAGCCUCAGUGUUCACAGUAAAACUGUAACUUAGUGGGUACAGCCUCAGUGUUCACAGUAAAACUGUAACUUAGUGGGUACAGCCUCAGUGUUCACAGUAAAACUGUAACUUAAAGCAGGUACAGCCUCAGUGUUCACAGUAAAUCACGCGCUGGAAGUUGCACAGAAUUUUUGCCCUACAUUACUCAUCUUAUAUG